GACGAACGCUGGCGGCGUGCUUAACACAUGCAAGUCGAACGGAAAGGCCCUGCUUUUGUGGGGUGCUCGCGUGGCGAACGGGUGAGUAACACGUGAGUAACCUGCCCUUGACUUUGGGAUAACUUCAGGAAACUGGGGCUACUACCGGAUAGGAGCUCCUGCUGCAUGGUGGGGGUUGGAAAGUUUCGGCGGUUGGGGAUGGACUCGCGGCUUAUCAGCUUGUUGGUGGGGUAGUGGCUUACCAAGGCUUUGAUGGGUAGCCGGCCUGAGAGGGUGACCGGCCACAUUGGGACUGAGAUACGGCCCAGACUCCUACGGGAGGCAGCAGUGGGGAAUAUUGCACAAUGGGCGGAAGCCUGAUGCAGCAACGCCGCGUGCGGGAUGACGGCCUUCGGGUUGUAAACCGCUUUCGCCUGUGACGAAGCGUGAGUGACGGUAAUGGGUAAAGAAGCACCGGCUAACUACGUG
rnacentral:rRNA from 1 species